rnacentral:lncRNA from 1 species
CAAAUGCCUUAGCAAGAUAAGGAAUCCAAGUUGAAGAGAGUUUUAAGUCGGAGAAUAACAAAAGUCAACUUACACGUUGAAAAUUUUGUCCUGUUUGUAGGGGAAGAAUCAGUAAAGGUUUGAAUUUAAGAUCAAAGGGAGCAGCUAGAACACGUUUAAUCCAUGACAGAUAUGAGAACCAAUGUUAAGGAAAUAUCAAUGGGAUUGAAGACAAUUGGGGGCAAUUUGGAAAGACCAGAAGGAGGCUAGGAGCCCACUGCUGCUAGGAGAGAGCAUUCUCUCAGAUGUCAAAGACGUUGACAAAGCCGAUGGUGGGAUAUUCCUGUCUUGUUUCUAGAAGAGCAAGGAGGAAGGCCAAUGAGUCGGAGCAAAGCAAACAGGCCAAGGAAACAAAUGCAGGGCUGGUGUCACCUUCCAAUGACGUUAAUUCCAAUUGUAGCUUUGGAGACCAGAUAUACGAUCAUCAGAUGGUGACUGUAGACCCAGUGGAUCCACUGUGAGCUGGACCUCACUUGUGCCUGGGAGGCUCCCUCCCCAUGUUGAUGGAUCUGAGUGUGACCUGGGGAAUACUUUCAGUCUGCUCUCUGUCCUGCUUUAAAUGCUCCUGAGUAGGUGCAGCCUAGUACAUGUGCACAGCCUUUCUGACCCCUGAGAUUUGACCACGAUCCUAGGAGGACUCGUCUUAAGUGUCUCUUUCUCUGGUUGCUCUAUUGAAGUUAUGGCUGCUCUGCCUUUUUGCUGUAUCGUGGAACUAUCAGCUUUUUCUUAAUUGCUCUCCAGCAAGAUCUCCAUGGUUUUUAGUAAUUCUCUUGUGCAUGUAAUGUGUAUGCUUUGUUCCAAAUAAGUCAGUUCCCUCAUCCAGAACUGCAGAGCUCUUGAUGCUUAUGCCCUGCCUUUCCCCUGGGAAGAAUCCCUUCACCAUAUAUCUAUGUCUGUAUCUAUAGCUAUAGCCAUCUAUAUCCAAAUCUAUACCUAUCCUUAUCCCAACCCUAAACCUAUAC